GACGAACGCUGGCGGCGUGCUUAACACAUGCAAGUCGAACGGACAGGCCCUGCUUUUGUGGGGUGCUCGAGUGGCGAACGGGUGAGUAACACGUGAGUAACCUGCCCUUGACUUUGGGAUAACUUCAGGAAACUGGGGCUAAUACCGGAUAGGAGCUCCUGCUGCAUGGUGGGGGUUGGAAAGUUUCGGCGGUUGGGGAUGGACUCGCGGCUUAUCAGCUUGUUGGUGAGGUAGUGGCUUACCAAGGCUUUGACGGGUAGCCGGCCUGAGAGGGUGACCGGCCACAUUGGGACUGAGAUACGGCGCAGACUCCUACGGGAGGCAGCAGUGGGGAAUAUUGCAGAAUGGGCGGAAGCCUGAGGCAGCAACGCCGCGUGCGGGAUGACGGCCUUCGGGUUGUAAACCGCUUUCGACGGUGACGAAGCGGGAGUGACGGUAAUGGGUAAAGAAGCACCGGCUAACUACGUG
rnacentral:rRNA from 1 species